rnacentral:rRNA from 1 species
UACGUAGGGGGCAAGCGUUGUCCGGAAUUAUUGGGCGUAAAGAGCUUGUAGGCGGUUUGUCGCGUCUGCUGUGAAAUUUCGGGGCUCAACCCCGAACUUGCAGUGGGUACGGGCAGACUAGAGUGUGGUAGGGGAGACUGGAAUUCCUGGUGUAGCGGUGAAAUGCGUAGAUAUCGAGAGGAACACCUGCGGCGAAGGCGGGUUGCUGGGCAGUAACUGACGCUGAGGAGCGAAAGCGUGGGGAGCGAACAGG